GGUAGUCAUGGGAAAGAAGUGUCCGCAGUAGCUUUCUAGUUACCAGUGUUACAUUUUGAAACUGGACACUACCUGCCGCGGACAUGGCCAACAUUGCGAAGAAAGUGUCAUGGUCGAGCCGAGGCGACGAUCGCGGAGAGAGAACUCCACUGUUAAACGGAGCCGAGGACGUUAAAUACACAAAACAGUUAUCCGGAGGCAGUAAAUUUUAUAUAGGCAGGCUGAGCACUGUGGAUCUUGACGAGGAGAUCACAACCGAAGAGGACAUUGCAAGGAGUCGGCCGAAGGAAAUCCCUCACAAUGAAAAGCUGCUGUCCCUCAAAUAUGAGAGUCUCGAUUAUGAUAACAGUGAAAAUCAGUUGUUUUUGGAGGAAGAAAGACGGAUGAGUCAAAUGAGCUUUAGUUGUCUGGAGAUCACGAGAUGGCUGAUCUGUGGUCUUAUUGGAUUCCUCACUGGUCUCAUCGCGUGCUUCAUAGACAUUGCUGUUGAGAACCUUGCUGGGGUUAAGUACUUUGUGGUCAAACAGAACAUAGAGAAAUUCACAGAGCUGGGAGGCCUGUCCAUCUCUUUGAUACUUUGGGCAGUACUAAACUCCGCUUUCGUGAUGGUCGGUGGCAUCAUUGUUGCUUUUAUUGAGCCCAUCGCUGCCGGUAGUGGAAUCCCUCAGAUAAAAUGCUACCUAAAUGGAGUGAAAAUCCCUCGUGUUGUUCGGCUCAAGACUCUGGUAGUUAAGGUCUGUGGUGUGAUCUGCUCAGUUGCAGGAGGUCUCGCCGUAGGAAAGGAAGGGCCCAUGAUUCACUCUGGAGCAGUGGUGGCCGCGGGAGUGUCUCAGGGCCGAAGCACUUCAUUGAAGAAAGACUUUAAGAUUUUUGAGUAUUUCCGUAGAGACACGGAGAAGAGAGACUUUGUCUCAGCUGGAGCAGCGGCUGGAGUCUCUGCUGCCUUUGGAGCCCCUGUUGGUGGGGUUCUGUUCAGUUUAGAGGAAGGAGCUUCAUUCUGGAACCAGAUGCUGACCUGGAGAAUUUUCUUUGCCUCGAUGAUCUCCACAUUCACACUGAACUUUUUCCUGAGCAUUUACCAUGAGAAGCCUGGAGACCUCUCCAACCCAGGUCUCAUUAACUUUGGCCGCUUUGACAGCGACUGCGUGGAGUAUAAUUUAUAUGAAAUUCCUCUCUUCAUUAUCAUGGGAGCUUUAGGAGGUUUGCUUGGAGCACUGUUUAAUCUCCUCAAUUAUUGGCUAACGAUUUUCAGAAUUAGGUACAUCCACCGGCCAUGUCUGCAAGUGAUGGAGGCCAUGCUGGUCGCUGCGGUGACCGCCACGGUUUCUUUUGCCAUGAUCUAUUUCUCCAAUGACUGUCAGCCGUUAGGAGAGGACCACACUGAGGAAUAUACUCUACAGCUCUUCUGUGCUGAUGGUGAAUAUAACACCAUGGCAACAGCUUUCUUCAACACACCUGAGCGGAGUGUGAGGAGUCUGUUUCAUAAUCCUCCAGGUUCUUACAACCCCCAGACCCUGGGUCUCUUCACUCUGGUCUAUUUCUUCCUGGCUGUCUGGACGUAUGGCCUGACUGUGUCAGCAGGAGUGUUCAUUCCCUCUUUGCUGAUUGGAGCAGCCUGGGGUCGACUCUCCGGAAUCUUCCUGUCCAGCAUUACUUCCAGCCAAUCAAUUUGGGCAGAUCCUGGAAAGUAUGCUCUCAUAGGUGCUGCGGCCCAGCUCGGUGGCAUUGUUCGAAUGACCCUCAGUCUCACCGUAAUCCUUGUAGAAGCCACCGGUAACGUGACCUAUGGCUUCCCCAUCAUGCUUGUGCUGAUUACUGCCAAGAUUGUUGGGGAUUACUUUGUAGAGGGCCUGUAUGAUAUCCAUAUUAAGCUGCAAAGUGUUCCUUUCCUUCAUUGGGAGGCUCCUCCUACUUCUCAUUGGCUGACUGCCAGAGAGGUCAUGAGCUCUCCAGUCACCUGCUUCAACAGAGUGGAGAAGGUUGGCACCAUAGUGGAUGUUCUUAGCAACACCAGUCACAAUGGCUUCCCAGUGGUUGUCCAUACAGUUGAGGUCCAAGAUGAGCCAGGCAAAAUCUGUGGCCUUAUUCUCCGCUCUCAGCUCAUUGUUCUUCUCAAGCAUAAGGUGUUUGUAGAGAGGGCAUCUUCACGUCUCAGCCAGAGAAAACUAGCGCUGAAGGACUUCAGAGAUGCAUAUCCACGCUUUCCCCCCAUCCAGUCCAUCCACGUCUCUCAGGACGAGAGAGAGUGCAUGAUGGAUCUGACAGAGUUCAUGAACCCAACCCCUUACACUGUGCCUCAGGAGACUUCACUCCCUCGAGUGUUUAAGUUGUUUCGGGCGUUGGGACUGAGGCAUCUAGUGGUGGUUGAUAAUGAGAACAGGGUUGUGGGUCUGGUGACCAGGAAGGAUCUUGCACGCUAUCACCUGGGUAAACACGGUCUGGAGGAGCUUCAACUGGCUCAGACGUAACUGAUCAUCAUGUGCAGCUUGUAUGCUGCCUUCUGACCACCAGCUUUGGACCUUAAUAACUCAGGGGUUGGUCAGAGUCUGUCUUGUGUCAAAGAUGACAAACCUGCAACCUACACAACAUUUGUUUUCACAUUCAGUAUUUUAAGGGCUCGGUUCUUUGAAAAAUACAUUUUUGCUCCCUUUUCAUGCAGCCUGCAUUUAUUUUUGCAUGUAUAAGUAGAGCAGAAUAGCACAUCAAGUUAUAUGAUUCGUUUUGCACUAUGUGUCUUUAUUUAUUGUAUUUUGGAGCAGAUGAGUUGUUUGGGAGCCCUCACUUUGCUUGUCUCUCCAAAAGCAUCUUUCUUUGUGACCUCUCGUGUUUAUAAUGGCUAGUUAUUAUGCAAGAUUCAUGCCAAUAUGUAUUGUUUUACUGAUGACAAUGUAUAUUGAUGUAACAGUGUGUCUUUAUUCAUUGUCAUUAUAGAGUCUGCACUGCAGUGAUACAAACAGGAUUGUGCGAUUUUUGUUGACAAAAAUUCCUGCACAAUAUAAAUUAUUGGUAGUUCACCCAAAAAUGAAAAUACUCUCAUCAUUUACUCACCCAGAUGUGUAUGACUUUUUCAUCUGCUGAACACAAAUGAAGAUUUUUAGAAGAAUUUCUCAGAUCUGUAGGUUCAUACAAUGCAAGUGAAUGGGUGCCAAAAUUUUGAAGCUCUAAAAUCCGCAUAAGGGCAACAUAAAAGUGGUUAAAUCAAUGUCUUCUGAAGUGAUAUGAUAGGUGUGGGUGAGAAACAGAUCAAUAUUUAAGUCCUUUUAAAUACUAUAAAUUCUCCUCCCUGCUCAGUCAAUCUCCACUUUAGGCUGUGUCUCGUUUGGAAGGCUGCGUGCUAGGUAGGACGUGUCCUUUGAAGGCUGCAGUAUACUGAGCGUCCUCCUUUAAACAAGUCUCAUUUAAACGAGAUGGCCUUCGUAGGACAAACGGAAACGUAACGUAACAUGGUUGCUAUGACAGCACACCACUCUUUAACAAGCAGGAGCGCUUUGAGUGAGAAGGGAACAAAGUCCCUCUGGAAGGGAAUGUAUGAGGUAAAUUUUAGGAGAGUUAUAAUGAUGUAAAGAGAAAAGAAAAUAGAUUUUAAAGGUGUACUUUUAGUCUAGUACUUUAUUUUAAUUAUAUAUUAAUAUAAUUAUACAUAUUAUAUACUCUGCACCAAUCUACUGAGGUACUUCAACUUGGGAAUUAACUUUACUUGCAUUUGAACAUCAUAUUUAUGGGCAAAUUGGCGUACAUUUUUUUAGACAUUUCCAUUGAAGCAAAGAAUUGUGGGUUGUGAGUGCCCACGAAGGAUACACCUCAUGCAUCUUCUGAAUUCCCUUGAAAGAAGGUCGCAUUCGAAAGCUGCAUUCGAAGUGUCCUCCUCUCUUUUUUUAAACGAGACAGCCUCGAUGACGUAUGCGGCUGACAAAUGCGACCUCCGGAGGUCGCAUCCUUCCAAACGAGACACAGCCAGAGAUUCACUUUCCCAUUCUUCUUUUUGUGUUUUUGGUUAUUCACAAUCUUAAUGCAUAUCGCCCCCCUACUGGGCAGAGAGGAGAAUUUAUGAUAAAAAUGACUUAAAUAUUGAUCUGUUUCUCACCCACACCUAUCAUAUCGUGUCUGAACACAUGGAUUUAACCACUGGAGUCAUAUGGAUUACUUUUAUGCUCCCUUUAUGUGGAUUUUGGAGCUUCAAAAUUUUGGCUCCCAUUCAGUUUUCAUUAUGAGGACCUACAGAGUUGAAAUAUUCUUCUGAAAAUCUUAAUUUGUGUUCUGCAGAAGUAAGAAAGUCAUGCACAUCUGGAAUGCCAGGAGGUGAUGCCCUUAAUGAAAAAUUAGCCUGUAAGGAGUGUAUCACUCUGUGGCAAGGAGGAGGGCGGCGCUGGGCCGUGAUGAUGCACACCUGGCCCCAAAUCAGGCUAAUCAAGCCCACAAGAGGGAUAAAGGUGGCCGGAGACGGCAGUUCGAGAUAGAGAGAGAGCAACAGACAGCUGUCCUGUAUGUGUGCCCUAUAUGCGUUUGUGUUGUAUGUCUUUUGUUUUAAGUUAAUCAUUAAAUUAUUAUUUAUAUUGUCAAGCCGGUUCUCACCUCUUCCUUUCCCUUUUAACCUGUUAAAUUGGUGCCGAAGUCCGGGAAGGAGGAGGGAUGCACCGUAGUAGAGUCCUCGCCGCUGCCAUCCGCCGGGGGACAGGAGCACGGGGCCUGAAAGUGGAGGAACGACCACCGACUGCGAAGGGAGGAGGGGCUCCUUACCGACUGCCUGUAGUGGUCGGGCCACUGCCAGGAGCGGAGGAGACCCCUACCGGCUGCUAAAAUGCAGCGGGGUCAAAGAUAAGACUGCCAUCUGCGAGCAUGGAGGGGCUCACUGCUGACCGCCUGGAGUUUUUUUUUCUCUCUCUCUCUCCCGCUGUCGCUCCGUGUUGGCCUUUCCCUCUAAUUUUUUUUUGUUUUUCCCUCCCCUUGUCUCCCUGCCAGGUCCGAGAAGGCGGGGAAGACCUGCCGGCAGGUUUUAUCGCUCAAUUAACACAAAGUAAUGCAUCAACUGCAAUAAAAAAAAUAAAAAAAAAACAGGGUGGAGUAGAACGGUGCCUGUAGAUUCAGAGUUCAUAUUAGUGUGUCCUAAUCCAGCUACUAUAAAUCUCAUUCUCUCAAUCCUUUCAAAUCAAAAGGUACCACAAUAUAGCUGUCUGGUAUCAAAUCAUGCUGUGGCUUUUGGUAACUGUCAACCAUCCUUACGUGAGAGGAAUUUAAAGAUUAUUUCAACUAAAUUUUUCAUUAAUCCAUCAUGUAUAUUAUUAAUAAUGUAUGUAAUCUAACAUAAAAUGUUGAACACAAUCUUGGGUACAUCAUGGUCAAUGUGAUUUUGCCAAGUAGGAUGUGUUCCAGAUCCAGAAUGAUCAUUUCAGUGAUUCAGGAUACAUUUGCUAAUGUUUAUCCAGAAACAUCAACGCCAUGCUGAUCCUGGACCAUCAUUGCCACAAUGUUGAUCCUGGACCAUCAUACACAUUUCAGUCCUGGGUAGAUUUGCUGAUGUUGAUCCAGGACCAUAAGUGCUUUAUUGAACUUGAAUCAUUGUCUCCAUGUUGAUCCUGUACCAGAAUAAUCAUUUCAGUCCUGGGUAGAUUUUCUCAUUUUGAUCCAGGACUGUCAUUGAGUGCUUCUCAAACGAAAGGCUGUAGUGUGGUUAGGCUGUGUCCUUCCU